rnacentral:misc_RNA from 1 species
CAUUUUUUCCAGAAGGCUGCUACUUUUCAUUGCUAUGUUGGGAACAUGUAUGCUAAUUGGAGAUGGGAUACUUACGCCUGCAAUCUCAGUGUUGUCUGCAAUGGAUGGAAUAAGAGCACCAUUUCCUGCUGUCAAGAAAUCUUUGGUGGAAGCUCUCUCAGCAGUCAUUCUGGUUGUUAUGUUUCUAUUACAAAAGUUUGGCACCUUUCUCUUUUCCCCUAUCAUGGGUGCAUGGACCUUGUGUACUCCACUAGUGGGGAUUUAUAGCAUCAUACAACAUUAUCCUAGCAUCUUCAAAGCUUUAUCACCGCACUACAUGGUCCGCUUCUUUUGGAGAAAGGGAAAGGAAGGGUGGCUGUUGCUUGGUGGCACUAUUCUCUGUAUCACAGGCUCAGAGGCAAUGUUUGCAGAUCUGGGUCAUUUUAAUAGGAGUUCUAUUCAGCU